rnacentral:rRNA from 1 species
GACGAACGCUGGCGGCGUGCUUAACACAUGCAAGUCGAACGGAAAGGCCCUGCUUUUGUGGGGUGCUCGAUUGGCGAACGGGUGAGUAACACGUGAGUAACCUGCCCUUGACUUUGGGAUAACUUCAGGAAACUGGGGCUAAUACCGGAUAGGAGCUCCUGCUGCAUGGUGGGGGUUGGUAAGUUUCGGCGGUGCGGGAUGGACUCGCGGGUUAGCAGCCUGUAGUUGGGGUAGUGGCUUACCAAGGCUUUGACGGGUAGCCGACCUUGGAAGGUGAACAGCCACAUUGGGACUGAGAUACGGACCAGUGUCCUACAGGGGGCAGCAGUGGGGAAUAUUGCCCAGUGGGCGGAAGCCUGAUGAAGCAACGCCCCGUGCGUGAUGACGGCCUUCGGGUUGUAAAACGCUUUCGGCUGUGACGAAGCGUGAGUGACGGUAAUGGGUAAAGAAGCACCGGCUAACUACGUG